rnacentral:misc_RNA from 1 species
CCAUGUGGGGGCUUGCUCCCGAUAGCGAUGGAUCAGCCAGCAUCUAUAGCGACUGACACCCCGCAAUCGGGAGCAAGCCCCCUCCCAC